rnacentral:rRNA from 1 species
UACGUAGGGUGCAAGCGUUGUCCGGAAUUAUUGGGCGUAAAGAGCUUGUAGGCGGUUUGUCGCGUCUGCUGUGAAAUUCCGGGGCUCAACCCCGAACUUGCAGUGGGUACGGGCAGACUAGAGUGUGGUAGGGGAGACUGGAAUUCCUGGUGUAGCGGUGAAAUGCGCAGAUAUCAGGAGGAACACCGAUGGCGAAGGCAGGUCUCUGGGCCGAUACUGACGCUGAGGAGCGAAAGCGUGGGGAGCGAACAGG